rnacentral:rRNA from 1 species
UACGUAGGUGGCAAGCGUUGUCCGGAUUUACUGGGCGUAAAGAGCGCGCAGGCGGUCGUGCAAGUCGCGUGUGAAAGCCCCCCGGCUCAACUGGGGAGGGUCACGCGAUACUGCUCGACUUGAAGGCAGGAGAGGGAAGUGGAAUUCCCGGUGUAGUGGUGAAAUGCGUAGAUAUCGGGAGGAACACCAGUGGCGAAGGCGACUUCCUGGCCUGUUCUUGACGCUGAGGCGCGAAAGCUAGGGUAGCAAACGGGG